rnacentral:rRNA from 1 species
AUUGAACGCUGGCGGCAGGCCUAACACAUGCAAGUCGAGCGGAUGAAGGGAGCUUGCUCCUGGAUUCAGCGGCGGACGGGUGAGUAAUGCCUAGGAAUCUGCCUGGUAGUGGGGGAUAACGUCCGGAAACGGGCGCUAAUACCGCAUACGUCCUGAGGGAGAAAGUGGGGGAUCUUCGGACCUCACGCUAUCAGAUGAGCCUAGGUCGGAUUAGCUAGUUGGUGGGGUAAAGGCCUACCAAGGCGACGAUCCGUAACUGGUCUGAGAGGAUGAUCAGUCACACUGGAACGGAGACACGGUCCAGACUCCUACGGGAGGCAGCAGUGGGGAAUAUUGGACAAUGGGCGAAAGCCUGAUCCAGCCAUGCCGCGUGUGUGAAGAAGGUCUUCGGAGUGUAAAGCACUUUAAGUGGGGAGGAAGGGCAGUAAGUUAAUACCUUGCUGUUUUGACGUUACCAACAGAAUAAGCACCGGCUAACUUCGUG